GAGCCUUUUGAGUUUUUGUUGACACUUCUAAUUGCAGGAUGAAAGCAGCACAAAUUGUCCUGAUCAGGGAGCCAUGACAUGCCACGACCCCCAGAGCUCCCCAACGGCCUGAGAGGGAGGCACCCAAUUCUCUUGCACUCAAGCCGCAGCAGCUCGUGGCCACUGGGCCCCUGAGAGCCACAUGCCUCAGCUCCCCAGCUCCAGCCUCCUUUCAAAGGCCCUUUAUUAAACCACCAACUAUUUGCUGUCGAGACAUUUAGGAUGAAAUCAUUGUGUUAAACAAAUAAACGCAGCUUCGUCCAGAUUUCUGCUCUGGGAGCAGAGUAAGAAAAUAAUUUCUGUCUGCUCGCCACAAAAGCGGCUGGAAAGGCCCAAAGAAAAAUAUUAUUUUUACUCCAUUGUGUGAAAUAUUGUCCUGGAGGAUCUGACGCACUGAACGUUUGAAGAGUUUGUGCUGGCAGGUUUCAGGGGUCCCCCGGGCCGGCCCCCUGGGGUUGUUUUCUGCAUUAAUAAACUUAGCAUGAUGUGUGUUAAAA